CUAAAUUGAGUCUGCUUAAUGCGGCCAUCGCAAGUGCGAUGGACCAACUGAUCGGUUUGAUACAGACUUUAUUCGAGGCUUUCUAGUAGUCAGCAGCAUACAUAUAUAUAUGUGUGUAUCACGCAUUGCCUGCACCUUACUACGGAGGCACGAACAAAGAUAGAGAACAGUGCUAGUUUACGAGGAAACUUAAAAAAUGGCGGAGAAGCGUUCUGAGGAUACGAUUCCCGAGCUAGAACAAAUGGAAAGAAUCAAACUCUUUGAUAAAAAUGAGAUUCGGGCUAUUGCCAAGAAACUGAACGAAUUUGAAUACAAAAUUCGUCACUCAAAGUGCAAAGAAGCCUAUGUGGAAUAUAUACAUUAUGAGAUGGAUCUCCUGAAAUUAAUUAAACAGCGAAGGGAUAAAUACGGCAUCACUCAAAAGAAGUUAGAUAUUGAUUUUGCUAUAGCGAAUAAAAUGAAUAACUUAUAUAAAGAUGCAAUAUCAAAAUUUCAAGAUAUUAGAUUUUGGAUUGCCUAUAUAAAAUUUUGCAAACAUGUACAUUUUCACAGCAAUAUCAGUAAUAUGAUAGGCAGAAUGUUACAAGUACAUAGGGAUGAGCCGAAAUGCUGGCAGAUAGCAGCUUGUUGGGAGCUGGAGGAGAACAACAACAAGCAGAAUGCACGGCAGUGUCUUCUCAGAGGUUUACUCAUUCAUCCAGAUUCGCAAUUGCUGUAUAUUGAAGCUUUUAAACUUGAGUUAAAUGAUUAUGUAUCUGUGUCUAACAACACAGAAAAUGCUGAGAACCAGGAGGAUAAUUCAGCAUCCACAGUGGACGAUAACGAGAUGCCAUUGCCAUUGAAGAGGGCAUAUGUAAUAUAUCAGCAGGCUAUUGAACGUGUUAACGACAUCAAAUUCAUAAUUGAACUUCUUAAAAUCACUGAAAAGUAUGACAACACCGAGAAAUUACAAAAGAAAAUUAUUAGUGAUAUGAUUCGAGAGUAUGCUCACGAAGCUUUAAUGUGGGACAAAAUGGCGGACCGCGAGUUACAGGGUCUGGUGCAGCCUGGUGUCACCAACACACCAAUGGAGCUGGACAAUUCUGAACAGGCCUCGUUGAGGGAUCGUAUCACUUCUUGCAAUAAAGUUUACCAAACGGCCGUGAAAAAAAUUAAGACUGAGGAGAUGUGGUCGCUUUAUAUAAAACGUUUACUGGAUAUCAAUAAAGAUUUACAAUCAUUGCCUAAUUUCAAGAGGAAACUGCUAAGGACCGCUUUAGCGCAGGCUCAUCAGGCGAAGAAGCUGAAGGAGGAAUAUUAUUCAGAUUGGAUCAAAAUGCUAAGCGCCGAAACGGGCGAUGAGAACGCGCAGAAGAGACUGAAUCAAGUUCUAUGCGGAGCGACUGACGCGGUGCCAAGCAGCGUGAGUCUUUGGCAAGAGCGAAUGAGACAUUUGUUGCUCUCGGGACAAGAGAAAGAAGCGGCCGCGAUAUAUCCAAAGGCGACAGAAAUAUUAGGGGAGAAAGCUCUACCUCUGUGGAGAAUGCGGAUUCUGCAUGUGCAAACGAAGAACUCGGAGAGAACCGAGGAAGCAUUCCAAGCCGCUUUGCAAGCGCAUCCACUCAUCGCCCGAGAUAUAAAGCCUACUUAUAUCGAGUGGCUUGUCUUAACAAAAAGCAUUCGCGCGGCUCGCAAAGCAUACGACAGCUUGUGCUUGCAGUCGCCCUUCUCGCUCAAAUUUCACAAAAAAAUGGCGUCACUUGAAAUCAUGCAGCCGGAUGUUUCGUUGAAGCAUGCGCGACGGCCUCACGAGUUGGCGACGCAUCAGUUUGGCAACCACGACAAGUCUGUCUGGAUGGACUAUAUCAAGUUCGAGAUGAAGUACGGCGAUCCGAAGAAAGUUUGCGAGAUACACGCAAGAGCGCUAAAAAACCUGGAACGCAAUCUCACGUAUUCUUUCAUCGGGGAUUACGAUCGAAUUAUCUCCAAUCCUGAUUCUAUGAACAGUUAAUCGUGAACCGUGUUUAUUGUGCGCAAUGUGCAUUACCGCAUGCUGGUACGUGGCAUGUUAUACUGAAGACGGAAACGUGACAUGAUAUGCCGAAACGAGGUGAGAAACGAGAGCAAUAAUCGACUGCAUGUGGAAAAUUAAAACGCGAGGACGAUCCUUAUAAUUAUCUUAAUGAGUGCAUUACUUUGGAUUGUCGCGCGCUGGACUUAAGAUUCCAGUGGCAGCUCUUUUUCCAUGCGCGUUAACACGAUGUUACGGUCGGUUUCGUUAGACAAACGCGCCCUGUCGCCUGUCUUCAGUAUUGACCUCGAGUCCAAGCACAUGAUGUCGAUGUUCAUGGAGUGCUGUUUGUCGUCCAGAUCAUGAUCGAUACGCGUAAGCAAAGAUUCCAGGCUGUUGUAGCUCGUUCUGGAAAAAAACAAAUUUACUGUCAAGUUCAUUAAUUUGAAGUGAAAGGCUUGUAUCAACAGCGUUAAUUGAAACUUGUCUCAUGUGAAACACUCGGACUUAUAUUCAGAGUUAGACUCAAGUUUUCAAGUUAAAUCGUGUAAUAUACGCGACGUUAUAUUUGUAAGCGCGAUUCAGCUAAAAAACUCAUAUCUAACUCUAACCCUAGUAGCACAGUUUAUUGAGGGAAUAUUGGCUAUAAAUUGGAUCCCAAUAUAUUCAAUAUUGGCCCAGUAUUGUAAAGUGGACGUCUUGUAUUUUAUAGCCAAUGUAGAAUUCCGAAUAUUAAUAAUUCGUUUGUUAUUAAUACUGGCUACAUAUGUUGGCUCAAUGUAUGCCAAUGUAACCAAUGCAAAUGAACUGUACUAUUAGGGGAAGGAGAAGGUACAUUCAAAUUUGAAAAUUUUAUUUAGAACAAGUUUCAAAUAUAAUUAUUAGUGCAGGCACGCUCGAGAAUAUACCUACGCUAAAAAAAAUAUCUAGAGUUUAUCACUGAAUUUCUAUCUUUUUGCCACGAGAUGUCGAUCAUGUAUGUUUUCUCCUAGUAUGAACUCGUGAAAAGUGAAAAGUUUCACGUGAACUCAAUCUUAUUAAUCGUGCAAUUUAUUCUCGUAUUAUGAGAUCAUGAAGAGUGAAUAAUUUUACAAUAUUUGAAGGCGAUUAUGUAUCUUUCUUUCCAAUGUAAACUUGUGAAAAGUGAACAUUUUUAUAUGUUUUUAAGGUUAAAUUUUUCACGAAUUCAUGCUAGAGGAAAGAUUCAUGAUCGAGUUCAAGUUUUCAAGGCUUGAAAAUGUUUACAUGACUUUUACUUGUCACAUUUCCAUUCUAGAAAAAAAUUAUGGGAUUGCUGCUCUGAAACUUGUCUCAUGUGAGAUGUUUACAUUUUUACUCAGAAUUAGGUCGAAAUUUUUCAGUUGCAUUGUGAUAUAUGUAACAUUUAUAUUUCUCUGCAUCUGUAAACGCAAUUUAGCUGAAAAAUUUGCAACUAAUUCUAAAUUCAAAUUUGAGAAUCUUACUUGAAACAAGUUUCAAGUAAUGAUUAUUAAUACAGAUCUUAGGUUCGUAUUAAGAGUUGUCACCUAAAAACUUGUCUCAUAUGAAAUAGAGGAGACUGAAGCUAAUUUUAAUUAGGAUAAAUUAUAACAAUGCUUCUAUUUCAUAAAGAAACAGAAAUAGAACUCAUGACGAGAAUUUUUUGUCUUUAAAGCAUUAUUCUAUUUUUGUUCCUUUAUGAAAUAGAAGCAUAAUUAUUAUUUGUCCUUGUUAACAGUAGUCCCGGUUUCCCUUACUCGCAUUUUCAUCCAGGAUUAAGUUCAAUUUUUUUAGUUGUUAUGAUAUAUGUGACAUUUAUAUUUGUAAUAACAAUUUAACUAAAAAGUUCUUAUCUAAUUUUGAAUUUAAAUCUAAAUAUUUUAUUUGAGACCCAAAUUUAAAUUUGAAUAUUUUACUCGAGUUUUAGGUGAUAAUUAUUAAUACGGGUCUUAAGACGUGCGACUAAGUAGUAGAUGAAUAGUACGACAAAAGAAUUAUCAUUGCGACGUUCUUUCGUACUUUGCACUCUCGAUAGCUCCAUUCAAGUUUUCCUUGGUCUGUUUCAAUUGCAGAACCUCACUCCACAAACCAGUUUCAACAUCAUCCUUACAGAGCUCGUAUCCGGGUCGAUAAGCGCGAUUUUCUAAACGCGUCUGUGCACACUUCACCACGUCUAUUUUGCUCGUCAACGCCCCUUCCAGCCGAGUUAUUUCCUUCUUCAACACCUCCAUUUCCUUCUGCACCUAUCCAGAUCGAGGAACAUAGACUCUCUCCAACAGCACAAAUCUUCCAAGGACAUCCUAAAGAUGUUCAGGGGACAUUCUAGUGUUCUAAAAACGUCCAUAGGAUAUCCAUAGAAUAUCGUGUGUUAUCUAGGUCUGACGAUAAAAUACGAGCUGAAUGCGGACGCAGAUGGUUAUGGUUUUGGUAUGGGAUUUUGAUCAAACCGCUGCCAAUCUGCGCGUAUUUUGCUAUUAAUUUGCUUA